rnacentral:piRNA from 1 species
GACAUCUGGAUACUCUCUCAGCAGUUGA